AAACCCUAAAAUCCUGACACUUCUUAUUACUUGCUCUUUAUGCUUUUGAAUCUGUGUAUUGUUUGCAUUUUGUGUUAGUGAAGUAAUUCAACAAACAGGAACUGAGGGCAGCUAUUUUGUACUUGAUAUAAUGGUUUUAACACGGUUAAUAUAAAUUGGGGAAAAUAUGAGUUCAUAGUCUGGAGAACAGAAGGAGGGAUCCAUUCACUUGCAAUUGUCAUGACCGAGACAGAAAGAGGAGGACUUGAGAAAUACAAAAGUAAGCCCACUUGAAGAUGUGAUGAUACUUGGAGCAUCUGUCAAAGAUGUGAUCUAAUGAACUCAGGGUUGCUGUGACAAAUUAAGGCUCAAGAAAUCGUGUCAUUCAUCUCUUUACAAAUUGACGAUUGAUCAGAAACCAAGUGGUGGAAAAAAAAAAAGGUGAUUGGUUAUUACUCCAUUUGGCUCCUCGGGCAUUUUACCCAAGACUUGAGUUUUUAUACCUUCCUUUCAGAUGAUAUCGCAUGCAAAAAUCCUUAGGUUUCUCUGUUUUUAUUUCUUACUUGAAGAAUGAAGGCAUGAACAACUGCCAAAGUUCUCACUCAAAUGGAUAUAAUGUAGACAAUUGAUUGUUAGAGAGCGGACAACCACAAUUUCCUCUUAUAUACCUGAAAUUGUUUUAGUUUAUUA